AACAGAUGGCAGGAAAAUGGCAGAGGAGAGGGAUAUAAAUAUAUUUUGCUAGAGAGGGAGUGGGAUACGUGUGAUAAAUCGAAGAGAACAUGUUAACCCUAAGCAUAGAAAGGUAGAGGGACUUUCACUGCCUCGAAACGUAAACUAUGGAAGUAUUCAUAGAUUAGUUUUUACCAAGCAAUUGCUACUUGUACCGUCAACACCAACAUUCUGUUUCAGACAGCAGCUACAUGACAAACAAUAAAAAGUUUCCCGUGUGUAUCAAGAAUGGUCCACCACCCCAAAAGCAUCCAGCCAGCUUGAUACAAUAGUGGCACGCAUUGGAGUCAACAUGGGCCAGCAUCCCCGUUGAAUGCUUUCUACACCUUGUAGACUCCACGCUCCAACGACUUGAGGCUGUUCUGAGGGCAAAGUGGGGUGCAGGAAUGUGUCACAUGCGCCAAAUACAACAGGGAUUUGGGCCUGGUCUCGGAGAAACAGUAUAUGCAUCGCGUCGGACUCAUUAAAGAAA